AGCUUUGCGUAGUGGCAGUAUCAUAGUCAAUGAGGUUUAUCGGAGGUGUGAUUAUUGCUAAUUGAAAACUACAAGGCAGGGAGUUUACGAGUAGAUAUACAAUGGGCCGCCCCAAAGCCAAGAGAGCCAGUUGAAAUGAUACCACUAAGAGGAAUCUGAAAUCUCUCAUGGCUCUAGCUAUAACAAAAAUUAAAUUAUCCAACUUCUAGACAGAU
rnacentral:snRNA from 11 species